rnacentral:rRNA from 1 species
GACAGGGGACGCAAGUGUUAUCCGGAAUCAUUGGGCGUAAAGCGUCUGCAGGUGGAAAUUUAAGUCUUUUGUCAAAACUUUGAGCUUAACUCAAAUUCCGCAAAAGAUACUAUUUUUUCUAGAGUAUGGUAGAGGUAAAGGGAAUUUCCAGUGAAGCGGUGAAAUGCGUAGAUAUUGGAAGGAAGACCCAUGGCGAAAGCACUUUACUGGGCCAUUUACUGACACUCAGAGACUAAAGCUAGGGGAGCAAACAGG